UACAGAGGGUGCGAGCGUUGUUCGGAAUUAUUGGGCGUAAAGAGCUCGUAGGCGGCUUGGCAAGUCGGGUGUGAAACCUCCAGGCUCAACCUGGAGACGCCACUCGAUACUGCCAUGGCUAGAGUCCGGUAGGGGACCACGGAAUUCCUGGUGUAGCGGUGAAAUGCGCAGAUAUCAGGAGGAACACCGGUGGCGAAAGCGCCUGUCUGGCCCAAUACUGACGCUGAAGCGCGAAAGCUAGGGGAGCAAACGGG
rnacentral:rRNA from 1 species